GACAGAGGUGCCAAGCGUUAGGCGGAAUCACUGGGCUUAAAGCGUGUGUAGGCGGACCUAUAAGUACCUUGUGAAAUCCCACGGCUUAACCGUGGAACUGCUCGGUAUACUGUGGGUCUUGAGCCAACUAGGGGCUACCGGAACAAGUGGUGGAGCGGUGAAAUGCGUAGAUAUCGGGAGGAACACCUGUGGCGAAAGCGGCUCACUGGACCAUAACUGACGCUGAUGCACGAAAGCUGGGGGAGCAAACAGG
rnacentral:rRNA from 1 species